UUCGCCUUGACUAAUGCCCAAGGUUUGUAAGACAAUGGGUUAAAAUAAUUAGGCAAGGACUCAGCUUUCUGCAAAAGGUUUCUGUAGCUUUAUUCAGAGAACGUUCUACCGUCAGGAUAACAAAACAGUCAUUAUAUAGUUCUUGCUAACUUACGCACAUGCAUUUACACACAAUCCGUUGGUGACCUGCAACCCCCAUAAACUUCUCACACUGUUUAUCACCUUCUGGCUCAGCCUGUUCCUUUCCUUCAAGGUUAGGAGCUCUCUGAAGUUUUACUCCCUUGACCAUCUGCUUCUGUAGCUAUACUAAUUGCAUACACACAUUUCUUUCCCUCUCCAGUGGUUCCUGGACUUUCCGGAACUGAUCAGACUAAUCGAUCCCUACACACAUUACAUUGAUUAUUCAUUAAACCUGCUGUAUGACUAAUAAUUCAUCAUGGUUUAUUGAUUCAUUUACAUUUAUUAGAUAAUUCUCUUAUCAAUUCCACCCUUAAAUGAUUCAAUAAUUCACCAUGAUGAUCACAUGCUAUAAGUAAUCACUAAUAAUCACACGCUUUAUGGAAAUACAAUAAUCAUAUGCUAUAUGGAAAUACAUAAUUGUGAAAUCACACGCUAUAUGGAAUUUAAUUGUGAUACAAGGAUUAAACAAGACUAAUACAUAAUUAUUCCUCCUAUACCCAUCAAUGACAGUCCUAGGCCUCUUUCCAAUUAUGACACUUCAAUUCAGGAUUUUCAUCAUAAUUUUCAUUGAAGGAACAGUCUAUCAAAACGUUGAAAAUUCAAUCAAAACGUUGAAAAUUGUUUAAUCAAACAUUGGCUCCUCGUUAUUGAAAGAGACAGAGCCAUCUUCCUGGCCUGGAGGCCCGCAUUCGCCAUCCCACUGAUCGGAGCUCGGAAUUGGUCCAUAUCUCACCAUCUGCAGCGUCAUCGAUCUCUCUAGAGUCCUGGUGAUUAAACCUCUCACACAUGGGACGAGACAACAUCCACACAACACAAACACACUCAUACAGGUGAAAGCAGCCCAUAAUACAGUUCUUACAACACUUUUCCAUUUCCCAAACAUGGGAUGUGUUAUCAGGAAUGUACGUGCAGCAAUGAACCUAAUCAUUCUACCUACACUGCCCUCUUCUGCCAGUAACAUAUCGAGAGUCAGUCUAUUUUACCAGGUCAUGAGGGAGGUGGCGGAUAAUUGGUCAGAGAACCUCUUUACUGCAUCCCCGUUUUCAUUCAUGACUCUCUGUUGAUUAUAAAAAAAAUGUCAUUAAUCCAAUCCACAUUUCGAUUUAUUGUCAACCACCAAAACAAUGUAGUGUUAAAGCCUUCACAUAUUUGAUUCAUAGCUUUGUAUUCAUCUGGAACUUCCCUGAGGAUGCCAAUAGCAUCCCUCUAGACAAAGCUACUCCCAUCCUGGUCAAAACUCCUCCUGUCCCUACUUUAGCCUCCUAUAACUAGCCUCUGAUGACUAACUCGAACUGGUUGGACCAAUAACCCCAGGGCGCAAGUUCCUAACCACCCUUUGUGGUAAUUUCUGUCGCAUGCGUCCUUUACUGGUACUGGCCCACCCUACAUCAGUUAUAGGUGCUGUGAGGUUAAGAAUGUUCUAUUCAUCUCUCAAACCUAAGUUAGUCACAUUAACGAUUACUUUCAGCCAUUAAAAUCAUCUUAGUUCUCGGUGCCAUUCUUGUAUCUAUAACACUGGUAUUCAUCCGGAAUUUAGGUGAACCGAGGUGGGUUGGCUGAGUACUUCAAUCUGGCCAACCCCAAUUCCUGUAAAGUCUGCUUCCCCAGGAAAUUGUUUAAUGUUUACCUUAAAUUCUACAUCUUGAUCUUCUUUGAUUCCUUAUUCUGUAUGUCACUCAUCAGUGUAUUGUAUAGUUUAUCUUCUACUUCUUCUCAAUGACAACGGUAUCCUAUGAUUAGUACCGGAAGGUGGUGGAUCUGAAUGUAUCAGAAAGGUUACCAAAGCUAUGAUGCAGCUCAGAGUCCCUACUCUUCCCAAAAACCGCCAACCCUCUCCUGCCCUUAGUCUCUCUGCUAGGUACCACCCCAUACUCACACCUCUAGGAGCACACACAGUGAUGAACGGUCGGGAUAGGAAAUCUUCGUUAAGGAGGUAACCCCCGGACCCUGUUGGUAUCGGUUCUUCUCCUAACUCUGUGUGUGAUCAGCAGGGUUCAUAUGUGUACAUACCUCCUUGCAGUGGGUAACGUGGACCCAAGUGACUCUUUCAGCUUUUCUAAUGGCAAAGGCAGUGGUUUAACAGAACCUGGUAUGGGCCUUCCCAACGGUGUUGCUUCCUGUCUUUUCUCCUCAGGGACUGGAUCCACACCCAGUCUCCUGGUUGUACUGAGUGAAUCACCUUCUCCUGUAAUUCACCUGUUGGACACAAAAUCUUGGACAUACGGGUUUGGUUAACAAACAGUCUUCUCAUGUGCUCUGCUAGUAUUUCUUCAACUUCUAUGUCUACCUGUUCUGGUAUUUUUAACUCUGGCAUUCUAUAGGCUCUACCUGAUUAGCUAAACUGUCAUCCAUCAUUUAAAGAGAUGGCUCCUAGUAAACCAACUCUUGGGAUAAUAUCUUGACUUAAUAUUUUAGCUACCAUAAUCAUGUCCACCAAGUAAGUUGGGAAUGCUUCUACCCAUUUGCUAUACUUAUCUAUUCUUGUUAAACUCCCCUUCUUCCCCUCAAUUCGGAAUAGUUCAAUAAGUCCAAUUCCAAAUGUUGGAAUGGAUCUUCUUACAACAUUUUUAAUUUUUAAUUUAAUUAAGUAAUUAUCCUCUAGGCCAUCACUCUUUCCUAACUACUCUACUAUACUUCCCUCCCCUUGAUACAUUGCUUAGCCUAUGUAUCAAUAUUGCUGCGUAUCCAUACAAUGUCUUUGGUAGGAUAAGUAAAUUAUCCUACUGUCAGACCUUCUCUUGUAGGAUGCCCCAUUUCAUUUUCCACAUGUCCAAUUCUUCCUGGGGCCUUCAUCCUCGGCUAUUCUGUAACAAUUCUCUGUCAAGUGUUUUAUCUUCUUUAAGAUGUAUCUAUGCUGCUUUGUAUGGUUUUAAAUGUCUAUGUGCUUGUCUGUGUAAAUAGUAACUUUUCUCUCCUUUCUUAUUUUCACCGGUUCUAGUCAAUGCUACUAUUUCGGCCUACUGUGCAGAAUAGUGUCUGGGCAAUGGUUCAGUGUCUAACACCUGAAACCAACUAAGCUUUCAUUGCCCUUUUAGUUAGGCUAACAAUUACUUUGAACAAAAUGAUCAUAUCUCCUCCUAGCGAAUUUACCAAACAUAAACUUAAAAUCAAAACUAAAAUACAUGCCUGCCAAUGGAGCCGAUAGUCUCUCCAUGAAUUAAUAUCCUAAAGCUAAGUGAACCAAAUUCUCUUCCUAUCUACUCCUGCUGGCCCCCCUUCUUUCUUCCUGCUACUCCCCAACCCUCAAGGUUUCAGCAGUGCAGGGGAGGAUCUCUCUGUCUGCCCUUCUAUCUGUCUCCAGCUUUUUCUCAUAAUAUGGUUAUUUCCAAAUAUUGACUAAAUGUCUCAUUGUCUCCUUGGUUGUACUCCUGAACUUUUAGAAAAAUCAACCUGUCUAGAUAUUGCAUAUCUACUUAAAUUUAUCUCGAUACCCUCAAUAAUCCUGGAUCACCUACAGAUGUCAUAUAUCCCUGUCCUGUUGACAUAAGUCUACCAUUAUUAAACUUAUUCACAACAAAAUAUAGUAAUACUAGUAUAUCAAUUCCACAGCCUUGUUGUGUUAAAUCUCUUACACUGAAUUCAACAACAGCUGACUUCCUAAGGAAAAAUAAACUUAUCUAGAUAAUGUAAAAAAUACCCCUGCUACUGGUCAACAUUUUUUCAAAUCCUAUAAUCAGAUCAAAAUGAUUAAUCUGAUUUACUCCACCAAGAAAAAUUAUUUUACCCUUAUUGUUCUAGGAAAAUAGACUUAAGGAAGCCUACCCUUAGUCUAAGGCUUUGCCCUUUUAGUCCUAUCAUUGGUUCAAAUUAUCAAUUGUGUCUAAGAACUUUAACUCCAUCAUAAUUAUCAGUUCUACAAAUUCCCUUAAAAUCAAUAUCACCAAUGACCUUAAAUUCACCAUCCAAAUGGCUUUUCAAUGUGGCUGAUCAGACCACACAGGAAAAGUCACCAGAUGUCAAAAGUCAUACCACCCUUUCAGAACCGUGUUUCUUACUACAUUAAACAAAUUAAGGCUAAGAACUUUAUCUACAUUUUGUAUCCCAGGUUUCCCAGAACAUUCCCUAUCAAAAGAAUUUAAUGUGUUUAUUAAAACUCUGAAAACAAGACACGCCCCAGUAUCACACAGAAAUUUGAUUCUCUCUCCCAUUACUGUUAGUGUCAAAUAGGGCUUCUGUUCUUGUUGUACUGACAAAUCAAUUGUAGCCAAUUCAAAAACUUCACAAUCGCUGUUUAUAACUAAAUUCUGAAAAUCGUCCUUCCCCUCACUAGUGUCUGUUCCCCCGCUCUCCAUAGUUAGUCAUGCCUCCUCCUCUGAGUCUGGCUGGGGGCGCCUGACCUUCUCUUUGUAUCUGUCUCUACUCCCUCUCUGGCCUUGCUUACUUCCCUCAGAUCUGCUAGCUCCCACCCUACGAGGUUCUGUUUGGUGGCACGAUUUAUCUCGGGACGCAUUCCACUGAGGAAAGCAAUUUUUAAUUCCUGAUAAUACGGGGCAUCAAAUCCAUCCACUACCGGGGGUUCUAUUAACCCACUAUUAGCGUUGGACACGUCCUUUAAUCUCUCUAGGUAUUGGUUUAUAGUCUUAUGAAAUGUCCAAGGGUUUAAAAAAAAAAAAUCAUGUAUAUCACCACAAUUCUGUCGCAAUUAUUAAUUUCCGCUCCUUAUAAUUCAUUAGAUUUAGGUAACUGCCUUUUCCUUGAUUCCGUCAUUCAAAUACAACUCCUAUUCUCUAUAAAUCCUUAAAACAGGCCAUUUAGACCACAAACAAUGUACUUUAUCGACUCUUUCUUUCUAUUUAAACUAAACAAGCUAUCAAAACGUUCGGUUUCUAUCUUAAACAAACACUAACAACCGUAUGGUUCCAGUCAUAACAUAACAAUAAUUAAAUUACAUUUUUGUCCCAUGGUGCAUGGGCUGGGAACUGAACCCGGGCCCCCCGCAUGGUAGGCAAGAAUUCUACCACUGAACAACUAUUGUUCAUGUUUACAGGGUGUUUUACAGUCUCUGGCGUAAUGUCCUGUUCUAUCGCAACUAAAACACAUCUUCUCUCCGUCUUUGUCAGCGCGUCUCCCCGUUUUUCCCCUUCUGUCUACAGUGUCUCUAUCCACUUUUCUCAAUAAGUUUGCUAAAUCCUGUUCUCCUCUCUGUCUAUCUCUAAACCGUGUCUGUCUACGGUUCCUUGGUGGGGCCUUACAAUCCUCUGCCAUGUGGCCGGUUAUAUUGCAGUUGUAGCCCUUUCUGUCCUCGGGUUCUAUCCACUUUCUACAUAAGUUUGUUAAAACCUGUUCUCUUUUCUGUGUCUCUUCCUCUCUACCUCCCUUGUUACCCAAAUCAUUGUUAGCAACGCCCUUAUCCCUGGCCCCCUCCGCUCUCUUCCUAGCUUCUGCCAGCCAAACACGAGCGGUGUCAAGGCCCUCUGUGCGCUGCUUCUCUGUCUUAUCCCCACAGAGCCUAUGUAUUUGUUGUAUCUUUAAUUCCAAUCUUUCAACAUUUAAACAUCCAUCCUCCAUUUCGGGCCAAAAUAAAAUGUUCCUCUUAUCUUUUCCCAGCAUAAACCGUUCAUCUCCCGUCAAUACCGGGAUCUCCUUAGAGGAUUUACUACCCAUGUUGUUAAAGUACACUCGUAUUUAUUCUGCUUCUUCUCCCAAUCUAGAGUUUUAGAAAUAUUAUUCGUAAGAACCAUAAACUAUCUUUUAUUCAUAUGUGCUUUAAUUUAUACAACUUCAAACCAAAUACAAUUAGUGUCUACUCGUUGUUAAUCUUUAUGUGUAUGCUAUUUUACCGUUAUUAACCUAGAAUUUGGGGAAUAAUUAUUCGCAUGCUAUAUUACAAAUUGCUUCUAUCUCAUCGCUCAAAAAGGACAAACGGCUUUUAUCUUGCGCCUGUUGAUUCUAGCAAUAUGUUUUCGUUAUUAACCUUCUAUUCGCAAUAUAGAGUUGUUCUGCUAGAAUGAUUAUACGUGAUUUUAACAAUGUGUUUUCGUUAUUAAACCUAUAAUUUGGGGAAUAAUUAUUUGCACGCUAUAUUUCAAAUUGCUUCUAUCUCAUCGCUCAAAAAGGACAAACGGCUUUUAUCUUGCGCCUGUUGAUUCUAGCAAUAUGUUUUCGUCUAGAAUUUAGGGAAUAAUUAUUCGCAUGCUAUAUUACAAAUUGCUUGUAUCUCAUCGCUCAAAAAGGACAAACAGCUUUUAUCUUGCGCCUGUUGAUUCUAGCAAUAUGUUUUCGUUAUUAACCUUCUAUUCAAUAUAGAGUUGUUCUGCUAGAAUGAUUAUACGUAUCUAUCCUAACCCGGUCUUUAUCUCGCUCAUAGACAAACACUGCAACCCGUUUUAUUUUUAGGUUUGUACUGUCUGUCUUUUUUUCGCGAUUUAUUGACAGAAUUCGCCUCACACACAAUCCCUCAUCCCAGCAUAGUUACUCUAUCUCUCUCGAAACUUUAUCUACAGCGGGGACUGUCGAUCAGACAUUAGGUCGCAUACAUAUGCAACUAUAAACUACUUUCCAGGGGUCGUAAAGCCCUAGUUAACAGCCUAUUUAUCUGUUGCUUCAUGUAACUGUUGACACCAAUAUCUGUUUCUCACUCCGCCAUAUUAGGUCUCACUUCACCCAUAGAUAUCAGACCUAAAGCCGUAUUUAGGUACCGACUAUCCCCUUAUGGUUUUUUGACCCUUGUGCUACGUUAUCAGGUCUCACCACAAGCCCUAGUUUAGUUUUAUGCAGUGGCCACAGUUGCCCAGGGUCGAUUUCGGACCCUGCGUCGUUUUCGAAUUCGUCGUUUUGAAUUUACAACUAAUUCCUAACUUCCAUCCGCGCAGAAUACUUGAUUCCCUUUAAAACCGAUUUUUCUCCACACGAACUUCUGAAGCCAGGUCACCAGCUAUAAUAUUCCCGCCUUUCAGCGUCUAACACCCAGAGUACAUUAAAAUCCUCUACUUUCACUCUUAUCAAUCGCUUUUGCCUUUCAUUCACAACAAUCGCUUUUGCCUUUCAUUCACAACAAUCGCUUUUGCUUUUCAUUCACAACAAUCGCUUUUGUCUUUCACUCACAACAAUCGCUUUUGUCUUUCACUCACAACAAUCGCUUUCUCAUCAAAUGCCAACACCCAAUUGUGUCCCUUAUUCCAUCAUGCAAUGCAGACAUACAGGUGUAUUUUAUACAAUGCAGACACACAGGUGUAUCACUCAUUUCACUAUGCAAUGCAGACCUAUAGGUAUAUCACUCACCCCUUAUUUAAUGUAAUCAUACAGGUGCUAUUCCCCAAAAGUAUGAAUAAAGUCUACUAACCUUAUAAUUUGCAGCUGAGGUUUUCAAUGUUCGUUGAAUCUCGUCACCACCUCUGUCGCGUACCAGUUUGCCACCGGCCUGUAAAGAACCCACAGAAAAGGGCCAGGUCUUUGAUUUACGGAUAUUUCAUCCGCCCGUGCACGGUUUCCGUGUCUCCUUGGAACGACAGCGGCAGUUUGAGAUCCGGCUCGAAGGACCAAUUGUUAAAGGAAUUUUAUAUCUUGAUGAUAAUAAUCAAUAAUCAAUUCGCCUUGACUAAUGCCCAAGGUUUGUAAGACAAUGGGUUAAAAUAAUUAGGCAAGGAGUCAGCUUUCUGCAAAAGGUUUCUGUAGCUUUAUUCAGAGAACGUUCUACCGUCAGGAUAACAAAACAGUCAUUAUAUAGUUCUUGCUAACUUACGCACAUGCAUUUACACACAAUCCGUUGGUGACCUGCAACCCCCAUAAACUUCUCACACUGUUUAUCACCUUCUGGCUCAGCCUGUUCCUUUCCUUCAAGGUUAGGAGCUCUCUGAAGUUUUACUCCCUUGACCAUCUGCUUCUGUAGCUAUACUAAUUGCAUACACACAUUUCUUUCCCUCUCCAGUGGUUCCUGGACUUUCCGGAACUAAUCAGACUAAUCGAUCCCUACACACAUUACAUUGAUUAUUCAUUAAACCUGCUGUAUGACUAAUAAUUCAUCAUGGUUUAUUGAUUCAUUUACAUUUAUUAGAUAAUUCUCUUAUCA
rnacentral:lncRNA from 1 species